AACGAACGCUGGCGGCAUGCCUAACACAUGCAAGUCGAACGAGACCUUCGGGUCUAGUGGCGCACGGGUGCGUAACGCGUGGGAAUCUACCCUUGGGUUCGGAAUAACAGGUAGAAAUGACUGCUAAUACCGGAUGAUGACGUAAGUCCAAAGAUUUAUCGCCCAGGGAUGAGCCCGCGUAAGAUUAGCUUGUUGGUGGGGUAAUGGCCUACCAAGGCGACGAUCUUUAGCUGGUCUGAGAGGAUGAUCAGCCACACUGGGACUGAGACACGGCCCAGGCUCCUACGGGAGGCAGUAGUGGGGAAUAUUGGACAAUGGGCGUAAGCCUGAUCCAGCAAUGCCGCGUGAGUGAUGAAGGCCUUAGGGUUGUAAAGCUCUUUUACCAGGGAUGAUAAUGACAGUACCUGGAGAAUAAGCACCGGCUAACUCUGUGCCAGCCGCCGCCGUAA
rnacentral:rRNA from 1 species